ensembl:misc_RNA 7SK 7SK RNA
AGAUGUGAGGGUGAUCUGGCUGUGAAUCUGUCACCCUAUUGAUUGCCGGGGCUGACUCACUGAUCUGGCUGGCUAGGUGCAUGCCUCUGCCCUCCCUUAGUGCUCCACAUGUAUCCCUCCUGAAGUUUCCCACUUAGAGAAAGAGGACAACCUUUUCAGAGUAGAGGUGGACCUGUCUUCUGUCGAGAAUAUAUGAAUAGCUGUGCUCCCCUGCUAGAACUUCCAAACAAGUUCUCCAGGAGAGAACUAGCCACAUCCCACAUUGUGACAAUAAUCACAGAGCUUCCAUUUCUGAUUCCAGAAGGGAUUCAGUUUUUUUUAAAAAAUAAUUUAUUU